rnacentral:rRNA from 1 species
AGCGAACGCUGGCGGCAGGCCUAACACAUGCAAGUCGAACGAAGCCUUCGGGCUUAGUGGCGGACGGGUGAGUAACACGUGGGAACGUACCUUUUGGUUCGGAACAACUCAGGGACACUUGAGCUAAUACCGGAUGAGCCCUUAGGGGGAAAGAUUUAUCGCCGAAAGAGCGGCCCGCGUUAGAUUAGCUAGUUGGUGAGGUAAAGGCUCACCAAGGCAACGAUCUAUAGCUGGUCUGAGAGGAUGAGCAGCCACACUGGGACUGAGACACGGCCCAGACUCCUACGGGAGGCAGCAGUGGGGAAUCUUGCGCAAUGGGCGAAAGCCUGACGCAGCCAUGCCGCGUGAAUGAUGAAGGUCUUAGGAUUGUAAAAUUCUUUUACCAGGAACGAUAAUGACGGUACCUGGAGAAAAAGCCCCGGCUAACUUCGUGCCAGCCGCCGCAGUAAAAC